ensembl:lncRNA
CUCUUUCUCUCUCACUCUCAUAUUGUCUUUCUCUCUCACUCUCAUAUUGUCUUUCUCUCUUACUCUCAUGUUCUCCUUCUCUCUCUCUCUCAUGUUCUCCUUCUCUCUCUCUCUCUCAUGUUCUUCUCUCUCUCUCUCAUGUUCUCCUUCUUCUCUCUCUCAUGUUCUUCUCUCUCUCUCUCUCAUGUUCUCCUCUCUCUCUCUCAUGUUCUCCUUCUCUCUCUCUCAUGUUCUUCUCUCUCUCUCUCAUGUUCUUCUCUCUCUCAUGUUCUUCUCUCUCUCUCUCAUGUUCUUCUUCUCUCUCUCUCAUGUUCUUCUCUCUCUCUCUCUCAUGUUCUUCUUCUCUCUCUCUCAUGUUCUUCUUCUCUCUCUCUCUCAUGUUCUUCUCUCUCUCUCUCAUGUUCUUCUCUCUCUCUCUCAUGUUCUUCUCUCUCUCUCUCCCUCAUGUUCUUCUUCUCUCUCUCUCAUGUUCUCCUCUCUCUCAUGUUCUUCUUCUCUCUCUCUCUCUCUCAUGUUCUUCUCUCUCUCAUGUUCUUCUCUCUCUCUCUCUCUCUCAUGUUCUUCUCUCUCUCUCUCUCAUGUUCUCCUUCUCUCUCUCUCUCAUGUUCUUCUCUCUCUCUCUCUCAUUUCUUCUUCUCUCUCUCUCUCUCUCAUGUUCUUCUCUCUCUCUCUCUCUCUCAUGUUCUUCUCUCUCUCUCUCAUGUUCUCUUUCUCUCUCUCUCUCAUGUUCUUCUCUCUCUCUCUCAUGUUCUUCUUCUCUCUCUCAUGUUCUUCUUCUCUCUCUCUCUCUCUCAUGUUCUUCUUCUCUCUCUCUCUCUCUCAUGUUCUUCUCUCUCUCUCUCUCUCAUGUUCUUCUUCUCUCUCUCUCUCAUGUUCUUCUUCUCUCUCUCUCUCAUGUUCUUCUUCUCUCUCUCUCAUGUUCUUCUCUCUCUCUCUCUCAUGUUCUUCUUCUCUCUCUCUCUCUCAUGUUCUUCUUCUCUCUCUCUCUCUCAUGUUCUUCUUUCUCUCUCUCUCUCUCAUGUUCUUCUCUCUCUCUCAUGUUCUUCUUCUCUCUCUCUCUCUCAUGUUCUUCUUCUCUCUCUCUCUCUCAUGUUCUUCUUCUCUCUCUCUCUCUCUCAUGUUCUUCUCUCUCUCUCAUGUUCUUCUUCUCUCUCUCUCUCUCUCAUGUUCUUCUUCUCUCUCUCUCUCUCUCAUGUUCUUCUCUCUCUCUCUCUCUCAUGUUCUUCUUCUCUCUCUCUCUCAUGUUCUUCUUCUCUCUCUCUCUCAUGUUCUUCUUCUCUCUCUCUCAUGUUCUUCUCUCUCUCUCUCAUGUUCUCCUCUCUCUCUCAUGUUCUUCUCUCUCUCUCUCUCAUGUUCUUCUCUCUCUCUCUCAUGUUCUUCUUCUCUCUCUCUCAUGUUCUUCUUCUCUCUCUCUCAUGUUCUUCUUCUCUCUCUCUCUCUCAUGUUCUUCUCUCUCUCUCUCUCAUGUUCUUCUCUCUCUCUCUCUCAUGUUCUUCUCUCUCUCUCUCUCAUGUUCUUCUCUCUCUCUCAUGUUCUCCUUCUCUCUCUCUCAUGUCUUCUCUCUCUCUCUCUNNNN